GUGUCAGCCGCCGCGGUAAUACGAAGGGGGCUAGCGUUGUUCGGAAUUACUGGGCGUAAAGCGCACGUAGGCGGACAUUUAAGUCAGGGGUGAAAUCCCGGGGCUCAACCCCGGAACUGCCUUUGAUACUGGGUGUCUUGAGUGUGGUAGAGGUGAGUGGAAUUGCGAGUGUAGAGGUGAAAUUCGUAGAUAUUCGCAGGAACACCGGUGGCGAAGGCGGCUCACUGGACCACAACUGACGCUGAGGUGCGAAAGCGUGGGGAGCAAACAGGAUUAGAUACCCCCGUAGUCC
rnacentral:rRNA from 1 species